CUGCGCAGGUUUCACUUCGCUCCGCGCAGCCUCCAGGUCUCGAGCUUGCAGGAGCGUUUGGUCCCACGUCGCCGACGCCGCCGCCGACACCACCGCUACCGCCACCACCACCGGCUUCUCACAGUCGCCCUGCGCGUCCUGUUCUCUGCGGCCAGCAUCGCUUCAGACUGCUGGGUUCGCCCCGCUCCCGCCGCCGCCACUCACUCGGCGCCCUUCCCCUGGCCCUCGUCCCCCCAAUGUCUGACUCUGACUCUCGGACUGAGAAACGCAAGAAAAAAAGACCAAAUGGCAAAGCAACCUUCCGAUGUAAGUUCUGAGUGUGACAGAGAAGGUGGACAGUUGCAGCCUGCGGAAAGGCCUCCUCAGCUCAGGCCUGGGGCCCCCACCUCUCUACAAACAGAGCGGCAAGGUAAUCCGGAAGGAGAAGGGGACCGCUGCCCCCAAGGCAGCCCCCAGGGCCCGCUGGCCCCACCGGCCAGCCCUGGCCCCUUUGCUACCAGAUCCCCGCUUUUCAUCUUCGUGAGAAGAUCCUCCCUGCUGUCUCGAUCCUCCAGUGGGUAUUUCUCUUUUGACACAGACAGGAGCCCAGCACCCAUGAGUUGUGACAAAUCAACACAAACCCCAAGUCCUCCUUGCCAAGCCUUCAACCAUUAUCUCAGUGCGAUGGCUUCCAUGAGGCAGUCUCAGGCUGAACCUGCAGAUAUGCGCCCGGAGAUAUGGAUUGCGCAGGAGUUACGGCGUAUUGGAGACGAAUUUAAUGCAUAUUACCCAAGGAGGGUAAUGCUGUUUUCUUUACCCCUCUUUUCCCCUCACACCCUCCCUCCCCCUGCCAUUUUAAAAAAAGAACAAAAUCGCAAAGGAGACUGGUUGUAGUUUGGAGCUUAUUCUGGAAAUGAGAGCUAGUACUUGUGUGCCACUGCCACUCUUCCUCCUCCACCAUGUCCAGUUUGUUUCGUGGCUGAAUUUCAGUGGUGGCAGGUGGAGGGGAUAUGGUUAGGAGGCUGGCGACAGGAUUUUAGGAGCGAAAACCUUAAUUAAACCCUCCGUGUUCACCAAAGGGAUUCUUUAUACACUUUGAAAUAGUCCCACAAAAAUAUUGACAGAGGCUUCAAGCCAUCAUGGGUUUCUGCCCUCCUUUGAGGCAGUUUGGGUCAAAGUUGAAGACAAAGUUAAAUUUGCAUCUUCACUCAGCCAAAGGGAAAUGUGCCCUGCGACUUGCCAGGAAGAGCAGGAGAGCCUUCUUCCUCCCAGCUGCCACUACUGUGCUUGGUGUCCCUUUAUUGAAAUAGAUGAGGCCAAUAAUUAAUAGCCUCUAAUUUGGGGUAUAAAAACUCUACCCCCCCCCCAAAUUGACUGCCACUGGAAUUUUUUAGAUGUGCUGUUGGUUUAAAAAAAAAAAAAAAUUCAGCCUUAGGUCUUAGUCUGCAGACCCAGUGUGUGUUCUUUUUGUUUUGCCCAUUGGGAUCUACAUUACCCUUUAGGUACCUUUCUGUCAUGGAAGACACUUUAAAAUGUGUGGAGGUAGGCUCUUGGGACUGUGUGUGAUGGCUGUCCUAAGAGGUACAUCAGCAAACGUGUGAUAGAAUGGGAUUCAGGCUUGCUUGCCUUUUUCCUAACAACCACAUAUGAAGAUUUUUAUGUUGCUUUAUCCAGAAGGCAGAUGCUUAAAUCUUAUCCUGUAGGAAAAUGACUCCCAUCAUUCUUUUUUACUGUGUUACUUCUCAUCUGAUUGCUCUUUUCCCAAACACUGUUGUUUCAUAGCAAUACCUGGUAAAGAUUUUUUUUUUUUUAAGUUACCUUUUUCUUCUGGAUGAGUUCAUGCUUAGGACAGCCCAGUAUUUCUGUUCUGCUUUAAAUGUCUGUCUUGUUUGUGGGUGGCUAUGGCUUAGUAAGUGGAUGUUGCCUGUAGAUUGCUUUCAGUCUUGUUUCCUUGUCUGUAUAUAGUACCUUGUAAGCAUUGAACAUACAUGGAGACAUUUUCCCAUCACAAGAAGGUCUUUCAUUUCUUCAGUAUAGAAUCGCCAUACAGGGGUUAGUUUGGGACUUUGAGAAUCCGCCCCCCCCACCCCCAAUCCUUUUUCUACAUUUUGUGGGGGGGCAUAUGUGAGUGUUUGAUGGGAAAGGUGCUAAAGUAUGAUUGUCAUUAAUUGGGAGGUGUCACAUUGAUGAAUGGGCUGCGGAAUUUCUUGUGAUGCUGUGUCUCUAGCUAGCAGAAUGUCUGGCAUCCCACACCUGAUAGGGACCUAGUCAUACAAUAUAAAUCCCCUCUCAGCCUAGAUCUAAAAUGAUCCUGGUUUUUGCAAGGUUGGUUUGUUUUGUAAUUUGCCACCAAAGUCACUGUCCCCCUGGUUCCUCUGCCUUGGCUUCUCUGAUGGGACCUCAGGGUUGCUGUGUGUGUGAAAACACAGCUUCCUGCUGGACUAGGAGAGAUUGAUCAGGAUAUUCAGGAUGUUGGUCCUCAUGGCAAGGUGGGGAAGACACAGGUGGGCUGAAUACAUGCAAGUUCAGCAGGAAGAGGUCCCUUCUGAUGGGUGUGGCAGCCCCUCGGGGGUGAGCCUGGGCCAUGAACUGACCAGCAUGCUGGGCCUGCUGCCUUCCCCAUCUCUGAGGGGGUGGUAGCCACCCUCAGGGCCAGGUCUGACUUGGCUGGGACUCCCCAGGAGAGGAGACGCUGUGGGCCCUUGGUGCCUUCGGAAUCCAAGAGUUCAGGGCACCGACAUAAGCCACCAUGGAGCUGUCCUCAGGGAUUGGAUCACAGCCUUUGGCCAGAGAGCCAGAUGUGUUUGAAGAUGUUUUGAACAAUUUUCUCUUUAAAUAUACACGAAAUAUCAACGGCUCUACAAAGCUUUCCCCUAAGCCUGUGCAGAUGGGUCUGGUUGAUGUGUCUCGUGGUGGCCCUGUGUGGUCAUCAGUGACCAGACUGGCUAGGGUGGCGUGGCGCUUGGAGCCUAGCCAAGCCCACAGCCAUCCCCUCACAUGGGCUGUCAAGGUGGUGGACAGUGCUGGCCGUGUACAGAGGAGUCCUGGGCCAUGGCGUUGGGUUCAUUACCCUGCGUCUCCAUUGAAGGUGGGAAAACCACCCCUGACAGGUCACACUCUCCCUCCCCAGCCCUCUCCCAGUUUCAUGUUGGGGAGGUCAUAGCUCUUUUUUCAAAUGAGAUGUAAGCUAUUUGUUCUCAAUGCUUUUGGCAAAAGAAAUAUGUCCGUCUCAUUGCAGUAUUUUGCAAUAGUUUGCACUCGUGAACCUUAGUUGGCAUUUCUCAAAAAAAAGAAAAAUGGAUCAGUGCAAAAAUGCCAUCUCGAGUCACUUACCAGCCUUUCUAAAAAGGCUGGAGUAAUGGGGGAGGAGUAGGGACAGCCUAUAACCUGACUUUUCUGAAACAAAACCAACAUACCUGGGUCUCCUAAAUAGCCAGUUCAAAGCAGCAGACAGUACCUGGGAACAGUGACACAGUGAUGCCCACUUUGAGAGAUGUCAGAUUCAAAACCAUCUGUUAUCUGCAGUCACACUGAUGGGCCACUCUUGAGUGUCUGGGGAGGAAAUGGGAGGCAGUUAGCUUUCAAGUUACAAGCUGUCUGCCCCGGGAGGGGUCGCUUCUUGGCCAGCGGAGUCCACCACACUGUGUGGGUCACAGCCUCUGAAAUGCUGGGGGUCUCCGCUGGCUUCAUGCCCCCACAGUACCUUUUGUAAAGUCUUGGUCGUUUGUUGCCAUGAGCCUUGCGAAGCCUGACAGGAUAUUUUCCCGUUUUUCCAGUUAGAACAAUAGAGGAAGUUGUCGUGUAGUUGUCAUGUGUUCAGUGCGCUUGCGGGCGGUGGGGAAGCGUGUGAGACGGAGCCAUGGAGGCUGAAUCCUUGAAGCAGGAGGUGACAGAGGCCCAGGUCUUUCUGAAUAAUUACCAAGCAGCCGAAGCCCACCCUCAGAUGGUUAUCUUACGACUGUUACGCUACAUCGCCCGUCUGGUGUGGAGGAUGCAGUGACGCCGGGUUCCUUGCGGAGCCGGGACGUGUGCAGACAUUUCGCUUGUUCAGACCAACGAGCCCAGCACUGUGGCGACGAGCCCAGCACCGUGGUGUCUCGGUGCCUCGAGGUGCAGCCCACGGUUCUUUGCCGGAGGGGCAGGCAGCCGGCUGGUGUGUCCCCAGAGGACACUGAGCUGCAUGUGGACCUGACCUUGUCUAUUGAUCACCCCCAUGGCAGAAUUUCUAAUGGAAGCUUCUGGUGAAUGUAAAUGAGGGAGGAUUUUUUCUUUUUGAAACUGUGUACAAAAUCAUGGUUCUCCAGAGCAGGAUUUGAUGCAAGAAUGAUGUUUUACAUGGGGUGUGGGUUUUUUUUUUUUUUUUUCCUUUCCCACCUUCUUUGAUAAGAACAGGUUUUUCAAAAAGGAAAUGGAAAGAAAGGAAAUGGAAAGUUUUUAACCAGCUCAAGUGAUUUUUGUACUAAAAUUUUAAGAACCUUUUGCCUCCUCUCAGAGGAUUAUGUAAAGACUCCAGUGGAAACUGAGCCAGCUAAUUUAUAAAGCUGCCUUAGUUUAUUUUUAGAGGUCACUGUAUAGCAUUUUUAAACGGGAGCAGUGUGGAGGGGCCCACCCUUCCCUGCCAUUGCCUUUGGGCCUUUUUUUAAAAAAAAUCAUUAAUUAUCAAUACCAAAAAAUUCUUCUGAAAUGGAACUGAUGGAAGGGGCCAAAGGUCUCUGGUCAGCCUGUAUUGGCCUGCCACUCCCGUUUUGUAAAUAUAUAUUUACCUCCUUAAAUUCGCUUGCAUCUGCAGCAAAAUUUCUCUCUCCCUGUGUCUCUCCUCCUCUCUCUUGGUGAUGCUCCUUAAGCCUGUGGUGACACUGAUGCACAUGUUUGGUCCAGGGUAUUUUCAUUGUAAGAAGUGAUUGGGUCAGAACACACGUUAGCAUCUGCCUGCAUCUGACACAGCCUGACUUGUGCUGCGCAGCUGGUAGCUUGCUCACUGGGUUGUGCUCUGUGUUGGUUUUCAUUUGGUUUUGACGGGCUUGUCAGUUAGAAUUGCUCUGAAGAGGUCAUCGUGGCCAUAACACAGAGUAUUUUGUCCCCUUUGCUGUUGGUGUUCCCAGAUGCAGGCUUUCCCCAAGUAACAGGAUGGACUCAGCCCAAGGUCCCAGGUGGUGCACAUGCCCACCUGUGGCCCCAUCCAGCUGCAGGUGUCUGAGGUGGCAGUUGGCACAGCCUGUGGGCGGGGCUUCAGACAGCAGUUUCCUGAGCAUCCUGGCUUUUCGUCCACCUCUGUUCACCUGGCCUUUGAUGGCUAACCCUUGGUUGCCACCCUUCGAAAUAGAGACUCAAUUCUGCUUUCAGCCGUCCCAUAAAAAACCCCAUUGGGCACAAGUCUGAAAUGCUCCCUUGGCCUUCUGACAGCUGUCCAUGUCACUUGCUCCAUUUCCCUCAGGAGAGCUGGGUUUUGUCAGGCCCCCUGAGUCCAUCCCCUGCUUUUGGGGGUGCCCUCCCUCCAGCCUGCCGUAAGGAUGGCAGGGAAUGGAAGCCCUUAAAUGGGUCGGUCUCUUCAAAGGCAGUUCGGCUACUGGGGAGACCUGAAAAAGACAGAGUGUGGGAAGAGCGGAAGUGAUCAUUCUGUGAACCCCAGAACUCCUACAGUUUUUGGAACCUCGUUAUCAAACAGCUUUUUAAAAGAAAGACAUGAUUUCUCAAAAUGAGUCAACAGUGCCAAUAACUAUCGUAUUUGCUUUUGGCCCAUCGAGGACCAAUGUUUCCACAUUAUGGGUUGGAAAAAUCCAUCCAUUUUUGUAUCUUCCUAAUUUUAUAUAAAUAUAUAUAUAUAUAUAUAUAUACACACACAUAUAUAUAUAUAGCAUAUAUACUUGUUUUUUAGGUAGCGAUAUUUGACUCCAAAUAUUCUUUUUUAAAAAUUUUCAUUUCGCCAACUAUCUCCUUGGGGCCUCGAAUUGUUUUAAAUCCGUGUUGAGUCUCAGCUUGUGUCCUCGACGUGUCUUGAACCCCUCUGUAGGAUCCUCAAGUCUACGCGGUUGUGAGGCGGUUGGUAGGAUCACGGCCGUGGGUCUGCUGGACACAUACACCAAAGACGUAUUUGGUUCUGGGCUGCACCCCUCCCAGGAUCCCCGUACUUUCAUGCCAGUCUCUCGGACUGGAGCACUUUACUCUGUUCCUUUGGCCCCGGGGGCCGGGUGUUCCUGGCCCACGUGCAGGUUUACCUUGGGCUCGGUGGCCUCCAGGCCCCCGGGCUGGCCAUGGAAGCAGCCAGUGAAGAAAAAAGAGAUUCCAGGAAUUAUAGAAGUAUUAAGAGGAUGUCGCCCAGGACUAGGGGAGGUGACUGGAUGUCUCUGUACUGUACAUUUCUGUUUAUCAGGAUGCCUCCCUGGAGAAAGGAUGCCCACGGUGGGUGUACCUUUGACUUCCUAAGUUUGAAUCUUUCUUAGACUUUUUGUAGGAAAAAAAAACAAAAAAAAAAACAAAAAAAGCCUCCAUCCCUUUUUGGAAACUUAAUGCGGGUUUUGUGCCUUGACCACCUCGUCUCUUGUGAGGUUUGUAGAAAGUGUCCUGUGACUUUUCACAGAAAUGCAAUAAACACACAGAAAAUUAACUUCCUGAGUGAAUUUUCAAAUGACCUGGGCUCCUGCCUAGAAAUGAAUUUUUGAAGGGUUCUUUUGGGGGGGCGGCGGGGGGUGUGUGGAGAACCAGGUAAAAAGAUUCCUUCUGAUUGGAAAGAAACUGUACACAGUGGACUACCACUUUCUCCUGUUUCCCCUUCUUAAUAUUGUAUAUAUUUUGACUAUUUAUUAGAUUAGGAAGUCAUAUUUUACUUAUCAACUGAGCCAAACGUCUGUGUGCAAUUAUUGUUUCCUUUACCUUUCAUGUAAAUGUUUGUACAGCAUAAAGGAGUAAAAAAAAAAAAAAAAAUCACUUUUUUACUAAACUUUUUCAGAAUUGAGGAUUGUAAAUAUUGUAGAUUCUUUUUCUGUGUAACGUGUCCUACUGUUCCAUAAUGCUGUAACUUGUAGAAAUGUUGUAUAUUUAUUUCUGGCUUAUUUAAUGUCUUACGUUCUAAAAGGUGUUGCUCCCCAUGACCCCUCACCCCUGCUGUCCCAGGAAUGCUUUAACUCUGAGGUGGUGACUGGUCAGCUCACGGCAGGCUCCGUGGUCUCCCCAACGUGGCCCUUCAGCUCUGAUUCCGGGUGUUUCCAGUCAAAUGGGUUUCACUUCGUCAGGUUUGCCAUCCCCUCGGUGAGGUGUGUGUGUUUAGACACCUCCCCAGAGACCCUAAAUCCAUCAGGCUCAAAAAUCCACUCUGGAACUCUCCAGCGACUUUCUUUCGUCCCCAGACGAAAGCAAACGCUGUGACGUCCAGGCCACAUCUUAAAACAACCACCAAAGUGGUAUCGUUGGCCAAGGGAGAGCUUUUUCCAUUGGACAUUUACCCCUGACCACACAGUGUUGAGAGAUGUGAGAAGAUCCUCUCCCAGAGAUGCUGCCGUGAGUUUGCCGAUGGCCAGGGCGGGCUGGGAUGAAGGCCCAGGGGGGGACCCAAGGACCCUGCUUCCUGAGUGACUUCAGGACCACCUUGUACCGCUAACUCCUUGUGGGUGAGUCCUUGAGUUUCUCCUGCCCCCUUUGGCUUCCUGUGCUUUGAGAUGCAGACUAAACUGUGUGUCUUUAGGAAUUAAUUGUACACCCCACACCCCCAGCCCUGAACCACUCCGUCCCUCUGCGUUUGAUCCCACCUGCUUCUUCAGGGUGGCGCCUUCCUCUUGCUUUUCCAAAGCCUUUGGGGCAGUGGGACGGGGGCCCUUUGGUCUGGGUGUUAAGAUGUGAAAGCCUUCCUAGCAGUUUUGUGUCCAUAGGUCUGUCCUCCCGGCUAAUUUAGCCUGGUGCCUGUGGGUGGAUGUGUCCACCUGUGUGUGUCGCUAAACCAGCUGGGGUAACUCCUGUCCUGCUCUGAACGGCGUGGUGUGCAAAAAGCAGCCUCAAACUGCGAGCUCAGUAACUUUGACUACUUUUGUUUGGGAAUUUCAGACUUUCAACACUCUCCUAAGUUUUUUUGUCCAGGUUCUGUGACCACUAGUUACUGUAUCAGAACUCGUCAGGUACUCGUUUAUAAAUAGCACUGAUCUGUCUGUAUACUGAUUCAUCACUAACUUGUUUCCUAGGACCCAGCAUAUGUAGCAUUUGUAUUGCAAUUUCCCUGGCUUACUUGUGUUUUGCACUGAUGAAUUUUGACAGGGUAAUUGCCACUUUACUUGUGCAAUACUGCUGUAAAUAACUGCAAAUUUUUUUUAAGAAACUCGAUCUUUUAUGUUCUUAAUUUUAUAUAAAUAAAACUUUCAACUAGUU